GAGCAUCCGCUUGACGUGCGGAGGGUCAUAGGUUCAAGUCCUAUAUCGUCCACCA
rnacentral:tRNA from 1 species